GAGACUUUCUCUUCUGGUCCAGUGGAUUUGCUGUUCUACAUGCUUCUUGGACCUGGAUAGGCAGUUCAUUCUUUAGGAGGAAGGUUAUAAUUCUAGGUUCUAAUUUGCUGGGUAGGUAUUUUGUAUCUUGAUUUCUGUUUCCUCUUUGGUUCUUAGGAGAAUGUGAUGGCUGUGUAUUGCCUGGUAAGAAAUUCUUCUGGGGUUUUGGUAGGUGUGGUCCCUGGAGUUCCUGGUAAAAUCUGUUUCUAACCUUUAGGAAUUGGGAUGGAUCGUGGGUGGCUGAGGGGGGAUAUAGGAAUGAGAAAAUCAGGGUGUUCUCACCAGAAUCUGUUUAGUUAAUACCCUGGAAAUGGGGGGCAGAUACUAAGAAGAUUAUAGCAGAUUGUCUGCUUCAGAGUUGGCAGAAAGGCUGAGGAACUGAACUUGAAGGAAUGGAGGGGAAGUGAAGAUCUGUACUUAGCUCACUUGUUUCCCUGGUCAGAGUGGCCGGUAGGUCCCCAGGGAAUGCCUGCUGAGUUGUGGGCUGGAACAAAGUAAUGGGUCUGAAGAAAGAAAUUUGGAGGUGAGGUGCUGUGUGAUCCACUAGAGCCAGGGUUUUCGGGAGACUGCCACAGGUAUUCUUCGGCAGAGCUGGGGGAUGAGACUGGGGCAUUGGAUCUGGAGAAGAGGGAGAGAUGAAGAUCUUUAGUCUGUUCAUUCUACUUCUAGUUGCAAGAAAACCUGAGUCCAUUUUGUGCUGACCACAUACUGUUGGCUAUGGAGCCAUCAACACUAAUCACACAAAACCCUUCCUACCGUCCCUGAAUUUAUGCUAAGGUAGUGACAUGUGGGAGAUAGUUGAUGGUUUCUGUGAUGAACAAGUGGUGAGAACAUUCAUUUCCAUCCACAGCUCUCCAGCAAGGUAGAAGAAGCUGGAGAUUAAGUUCAAGUACUGAAGAACCAUCUUUUGUUCAAUCAUGCGUCUUUGGAGCCUCCAUAAGAAAUCCUAAGUGGUAGAAUUCAGUCUGGUGACCAUGAGGUAUAGGGAAGGUGGCGCACCGGCAAAAUCUACAGAAACUCUAUAUAAUAUUAUAUUAUCUCACCCUCAACCCUUGCUUUAUGUUUUGUGUUGUGAUGUGGUUAUUCCUGGAUUAUAGGCUUUGUAACACACUGAUAAACACAAUAAGUUUCUCAUGUAUAUUAGCCCUAGGAGCAAGUUGUUAAAUCCAAAGAAGGGUAUAGGAAUCUUUGAUUUACAGGCAGUUGACCAGAAGUACAGGCAGCAUCUGUACUUCUGUCAGAAGCAUAGGAAGUGCAAUGAGAAUAUGGAUUAGGGAAAGUCUUAAGGGACUGAGACUUUAACCUGUGGGUCACCACAUUCUAGGUAGCUGGGCAUCAGAAAUACAUUAAAUUAUAGGAAAUCUAGAUGAUGAACACAGAUAAUUGAAAAAUUACUUAAUAUACAGGAAAACCCCUCUAUGGUUUUCUUCUGGUGUCAGAAGUAAAAUAUAUUUGAAUAGAAAGGUAUUUCCUUUGACAGUGGCUCACUUUGUAGCCAAUAGGUGCUGGCUGUUGGAUGAGAGUUCACCUUGGACUGAAGAAGGAGCAUGGUUAAGUCUUUCCACUUUGGCUGAUCUAUGGGAUGUACAGAAGCUAAAUCUCAAAAGUCAGAAUCCAAAGUGACAAGAAAUAGAAGCAGCAUGUUUUGUGACACCUAAAUCUAGAAACAGCCACAGAACUGUAUUCACUGAACUCUAGAGGUCAAACAUUCUCUGAGGUCAGGUUGAAAAGCAAGGGCAUAGACUUUACUUCUCAAUAAAGGGAAUAGCAAAGAGUUUAGAUACCAUGUUUUGAAGCUGUCACAGGAGAUACACAGGUUGUGAGGUAGGGAAUGAUUUAGGUGUUGAAAACAUCAUGAUCUAAAAGUAGCCAUGGAUACGUAAGCUGGCACAUCCCCAAUUUCCUUGCUCAGUGGCAUGAACACAGCAGGAGAAAAGAUGGUCACCACUAGCAAGGGCUGCAGGGCAACCGAUGGCCGCAAGGUGAGGGUUUCUCCAGUUUGAAAUGUAAGAGAGUAUGGUGGGCAUGACCAUAAUUUUCAUCAGACACAGUGGUGAAGUUUUAGGAAUUGAUACAUGGGAAAAAGAACUUAUUAACAUACGUAGGAUAUUGAAGAUUACCAUAUGGAAGUUGGAUGGCCAAAGAAUCUAGUAUUUGCAUUAGCAACUCCUAAACAGAAGUACGAAGCAAUGAUACUCUACCCAUGGAAACAGUGGAAAGAAGUACAAUAUUUUAAAAACCCACUUAAAGUAUUAUAGACAUGAACUCUACACCAAUGAAAGAAACAGGCUGUGUAAAAAGAGGGAAAAUUUAAUGGUUAGCAAAUAUGAACCACUCGAUUUUAUAGGAACACAUAAAGAAAAACACAGGUAUAUAAUGUCAUCUAUCAGGUUGACAAAAGAAAAAAAGCUGACACAAUAAGAUAAAUUGAAUAAUAAUUUCCCAUUUUCUCUAGGCUAAUCUCCAAGGAUAGCUGUUGAAUUCACAGUGGUCUGGAUAUCUCCGUUCAGACAAAAGCCUUGGGAAACAAUGUAAUGGCUGGGUAAGAGAGCGAGGUGAGGAGCUGAAGAGUAAGGAAGCACGGUUUAAACAACGUGGUUCUCAUGAUGCCAUCACACUGUACUCUUCACGUUGAAAGAAAGGGAUCUGAGACACGCUCAAUCAAAUCACGUAACUAUAUUCAUUACUGUCUUAAAUUGAGAAUGAAUUAAUUGUAUAAAUAAGUAGUUGUAAUUCAGUUAUGGAUUAGGUAACACUAAACCAUAUUAGACAUCCACUCCAUGAAUAAUCACUACAUUUGAACAUUAAGCAAUUCUUCAUUGCAUGGUCCUCUAUACAAAUGAUCAAGCUGACACUCGGAAGGAUAGUUCAUUAGCUCAUGUAAGUAGAGGAAUGGAAUCUUCAUCUGUUGAACCAGAUGAACUCAUAGUGCAGCUGUCCCAUGUGGAUUCUGUCAUCACUUACUCUUGGCAUUUUGGCCAGUUGUGAGUUCCUACAUUAACUGCUGUCUGCUAUAGAAUGAAGCUUUUCUGAUGGAGGUUGUAACUCCAUAGCACUCAUCUGUAAGUAUUAACAUGAGUGUUUAGAAGGCAGUUAGACAGUAGGAUCCUUUAGCAAAACAAUAGUAUCAGGUAUCCAGUUGGGCCUAUGACAUCCCCUACCAUGAACUCUUGAUGAGACUAAAAGAAUCAAUGCAUGAGUUGCCUCUUCAAAUCCAAUGAGAAAGUGGUUGGUUUCCAUGACAGCUCUCACGCCACUAUUGCACUAGGAAGGCACACCUUCUCUGGCAAGCCAUUUAAUUGCAGGAUUCACAGCUGGAUAAGAUCAAACUGUUUUACUCUCUUAAUGUAGAGAGUUGUCUCUAUGCUCUACAUUGUCUUCCUUUGUUUCGUCUUUUCACGGAAACUUUUGCUAUUUGUGUGUGUUUUAUUAUCACAAGUACAAUUGUUAAGUAACAGUUCCACUGUCCAAUUUCCAUGGAAGUCUUUAUAUCUUUAGCCAUCUGCUCUACUAUGAAUCUUUUAGAAUGAAUGUGUGAGGUUGCACGUUCCUGACUCUGUACUUGGAGCCCUGAAUUCAUUAUGUCAGUCAUCAUGUAAAUAUCCUGACCGUGGGAGAAGCACUUUUUAAACAUCCUUUAAUGAGAGGGAAUGCUUCCUUCUCAUAAUUUAUACUUAAAAUAGCUCUUCCCAUUUUGCAAUAUGGCACGAUACCAGCUAUUUGAAACCAUAAAACACUACCUUAGAUGAUGUAGUAAACCUCCAUUUCUGUUAAACAUAUUUUGCCCAUUAUCAGAGAUUUGGGCAAAUACAGAAAAUUAUGCAUUUCAUCUGCCAAUCUAGUUGAAGUAAAAGAGAUUAAUUAUUUUACCCAGCUCUCCUGGCAUUCCUUGAUCAUCUCUGGAAAGGAGUUUGGGGAAGUUUUUCUUAACCUAAUGUUUAUCUCUUCACUGAGGAAAAUCUUACAAGUUCACACUUCCAAUGACAGCAUAACAGGUCCAGGGUAGAAGUAGAGAAGUGUUUGUUCAGUGAACAACACUCCACCCUGAGUCGUGUUUCUAUAAAAACAUUCUCUCUCCUGGUUAUCCACUACCAUUGCUGGUUAUUUUCAAUCCACACCCUGCAAUUCAUGGUUGGUUGGUUGGUUGGUUGGUUUAUUUAUUUAUUUAUUUAUUUAUUUAUUUAUUUAUUUAUUUAUUUAUUUAUGGUGUUGAACUGGAAAGUUAAAUUAAUAAGAAAGGCUUGGGUACUUCUCUAUGCAAUGACUCCUGCAUACAAUAGAAAAUGCCACUGUCCUUAUUCAUUUAGGAUUGCAUUAGGAAUACUACUUUAUACCUUCUCUGUGCUAAUACAAUGUUGGAUGCUUUGGUGCUAAUAGAUGAAGGCCAAUUACUACAAAUUUCAUACUGUUUUCUUCUUCCUGGCACUGGGAACAGAAACACAUAUAUGAGGUCAAUAUCAGGAGCACUGUACAUCUGAACUGAGUACUCAAUAUCUACUGAGGUGUUCUAUAAAAGAGGGAAUAUUUGGGCUGAGACAUGAGGAAGAUUAGCCAAUUAGCUACCAUUUAUAUUAGUGAAUUUUUUGAGCAUUAUACUAUAUUUAUGUAGAAUGUAAUUCACAAAUGUACUUAAUAUGUGUACUUGUGCUUCUAUGUAGAGCACUCCAAUGAUUCUAAGCAUUUUUCUUGGAAAUAGAGAAAGGUGGGAAAUAAGUUAAGAUUCUCUUAAUUUCAGAAAUCAUUGUUCAGUCAUCACUGAGUCUUCUAAAUGUAAGCCUCCCCAAAUUGUAUUAAAAAUAUAGUCUGUAAUGACACAUUUCUUUCUUAUGUAACUUCCUCAGAGGUACUAAGUAAUUCAAUUUCAAGUGAUAAUUGGCCAAGCAUCCAGAGUUCAAGCCAAACUAUCUCUCUAUCCAGUUUGAUGAUUACCUAUGCAUACAGUAGCAUGUUCCUCUCUGGGAACUUCAGGCCUGUGUGCAGUGGAAAAAACACUGAAUCACAGGCACAGUUGUGGAAUGUAGCUGUGAUUUGAAAUGCAGCCAGCUGAAAGCAAUGAGCAGUUUCCGUUCACUGAGCAGAGAGUAGAUACCCUUGAAGACUUACAUGUGAAAGUCAUGCAAUGAUAAGAUCCAAAUUCUUUCUAGUGAUCUUUGCCAAGCAAGCCUAAGGGAAAUCUCCUUGGCUGGAGGUAAAGUUAUUGCCCCUCCCCACACGUACAUCGCUACCCAGAAGCACUGGUCUCUUGUCCCGAGACAUCUUCACUUAGUUCUUCCUCCUGUGAAUUCCUGGACCAUGUCAGCAUCCAGCCUCUCAGCUUUCAGCACCAGUGAAUAGCAAUUUGUAGUGUCAAUCACAAAAUUCCACCAAAGACUAAUCAUGAUAAAUUAGUAAUAGGAAAUGAAUUUUGUACUAAAGUUGUGCUCUCUUAUAGGCAUCAUAUUUAAAGUUUAAACUCAUGGAUUAUUUUGAUCACUUGAUAUUCUUAACAUUAUUACAAAGCAGGUUAAGUUAUAUAAUAACUUACCCAAAGUCACACAACUGAUAAAAAUCAGAUAUAAAUCAAUUUAACUCUAAAAUCCAUUUUUCCCUCUAUGUCUUGAGGUAUAAAUGAACAUCUGAACUUGGAGAAGGACUUUUACAUGAGAAAUAGCAGUGUUUUAAGCACCUUUACAAAGGACAUGUCCUAAUAUGUGUUAAUAACCUCUUCUGAAAGAGAAAGUUAUUAACUAAUUUAUUAGACAGAAAUAAUAUUUUGGCUUUAUAUUCAGUUUUAUAUUCUUUUAAAUUGUUCUCCUUCAUCUAAAACUAAAUUUAGCUCCCAAGUGGUGCCAUUUUACAUCAAGUUUUAAAUUACAAUGAAGACACAAAAAUAUUAUGGAAACAGAAUUAGUAUUUCCAAGCACAAAAUUUUUGCCACAGUAUUCAAUUCUUCUUAAAAGAAGUACUCAACUGACAAUGGGGGAACCUUUAUGCUUUACUUUGAUAAUAUUUGUAGAACAUGAUAUAUUAUAAAUGUUACUCUUUAUGUGAAAAUUUAUAGAUGAGAACAUGAAAAGUAAAUUUUGUGGGCAAAUUUACUGAGACAAGGGAAAACAGAAUUUAAAAAGAAAUUUAAAACCAAGGAAAGCUGUGAGAAAGAUGAAUGAUCUAAUUUCAGUAAUUUCAUUGAUUAAAACAGAAAAGAAACAGGGCCAUAGGAGAAUAGGGCUAACAUCUGGGCAACCUUCUGAGUCAGUUGUGAAUAUUCUGAGCACACAGAGAUGGGUGGGAAUAUUCCAUUGGAAGUAAUGUGAUCUAAUCAUAGCCAUAACAACAAAUCCUCCUCUCAGUUAACAAGAGUUGAUCACCCCAACAUAAAUACUUAGCCGUGUUGAUUUGAGGUCAAUCGAUUUACAGGACCAUUUUAGUGUCAAAGCCGGAAUUAUGUGUCUCCUAUGAAUGGGAAGCGUAUGUGGUUUGUCUCAAAGACUAAGCAAUAGAGUUCUGAAAUGCAUGAACUAAUAGAAUGAGCGGUACGCCCUAGUUCCACCUUUUUCCUGUCCCGCCCCUGUCUAUCUUUGCCUACUUCUGUUUCACAUGGUCACUUGGAGCUAAUGAAUACGGAGAAGCCAGACUUUCUUUACAACUUACUGUUCUUCUGUUCUGGAGGGAAUGAGAAAAAUUUGAUUGGUAAUAAUUUGGUGAAUUAGAGAGUCCAGCCAAUAGGUCAAAACUUUCAGAUUCCAAGUCUGAUAGUAUCUGGUUAAUGUGUAACCCUGAAUAUGAAAAAAAUCUCAU
rnacentral:sRNA from 1 species